rnacentral:rRNA from 1 species
AUACAGAGGGUGCAAGCGUUAAUCGGAUUUACUGGGCGUAAAGCGCGCGUAGGUGGCUAAUUAAGUCAAAUGUGAAAUCCCCGAGCUUAACUUGGGAAUUGCAUUCGAUACUGGUUAGCUAGAGUAUGGGAGAGGAUGGUAGAAUUCCAGGUGUAGCGGUGAAAUGCGUAGAGAUCUGGAGGAAUACCGAUGGCGAAGGCAGCCAUCUGGCCUAAUACUGACACUGAGGUGCGAAAGCAUGGGGAGCAAACAGGAUUAGAUACCCUGGUAGUCCAUGCCGUAAACGAUGUCUACUAGCCGUUGGGGCCCUUGAGGCUUUAGUGGCGCAGCUAGCGCGAUAAGUAGACCGCCUGGGGAGUACGGUCGCAAGACUAAAACUCAAAUGAAUUGACGGGG